ACUCCCAGGUCUGCCCAUUCGCUGCUCAGGACUGAACACAGACGACCCAUCAUGGAGUCUGGGCUGAGGUGGCUUCUCCUCCUUGUUCUGUUACAAGGUGUCCAGUGUGAGGUACAACUCGUGGAGUCUGGAGGAGGCUUGGUCCAGCCUGGAGGGUCCCGGAGACUCUCCUGUGCAGCCUCUGGAUUCACCUUCACUGAUUACUACAUGAACUGGGUCCGUCAGGCCCCAGGGAAGGGGCUGGAGUGGGUUGAUGUUGUUAGAAACAAAGCUAAUGGUCGAACGGCUGAAAGCCUGCUGGAUCCUCAGUACAGCCCUUUCUGUGCUCCAGGGUGGGGGUCUGCUGUCGUCCUCACCCUCCUCCUGGCUGUUCUCCCAGGCGUCUGUUCCCAGGUGCAGCUGGUGCAGUCAGGGGCAGAGGUGAGACGCCUGGGGAGUCUCUGACGAUCUCCUGCAAGGCACAGCUUCACAAGCUACUGGAUGCACUGGGUGCACCAGAGGCCUGGGAAGGGCCUGGAGUGGAUGGGGAGAAUCUAUCCUGGUGAUUCUGAUACAAACUACAGCCCAGCCUUCCAAGGCCACGUCGCCAUCUCCACAGAUAACUCCAUCAGCACGGCUUCCCUGCGGUGGAACAAACUGAAGGCAGAGGACACCGCCAUGUAUUACUGCUCCAGGAGAGACUCUUUCUCUAAAAGAUUUUUUGACAGGGUGAAUGCUGCUCUGAUCGAACAGCUGGGCAAGCAGUACUGCAGAGGACUGGUGACCAGGGGCUGUCUGAUACCCCUCAGUCUUUAUGGGAAAAGAUGCAACAUGCAGGCUGAGAGGCUGAAGCAGCUUGGAGAAGACAAAGGCACACAGUGGGCAGAGAAGCUGUGGCACCUGCUGUCUGGGCUCCAGCCUUCGGAGAGGGCAGCCUCCAGAGGGGGGACGGCAGCCGCCUUGUCCUCAGGAAGCUCACAGUUCACCAGCUGCAGAAACUGGGCUCCUGAUGAUUGA